CGGGCUCAGCGAGCCCUCCGAGGUCCUCUGUGCCGCGGGACCCGCUCCUUCCCCAGCCUCCAGGAUUUCAAAGAUAAAAUCCCACUUGAGCCUGGGGACCAUGGGAGUACCUGACUGACGAGUAGACCGCGGCUCUGCCUUGCUCACCCGUCUUUCUGCACUUUACACCCGCUCCUUCUACAAGGGAGUCUCGAGAGCCCAAGAGACAGAGUGUGAGAAAGCCUUUGCAAACAAAAGCAUGACAUGGAUGUUCACAGAAUGAGUGAAGAGAAGGACACAAGGAUGAAUAAGAAGUGGAUCUGCUGUCAGGAAGCCACUGAGUCUUCUAAUUCAAGGAGGAGGUGCUAAGGGCUGAAAAAGGUACAACCAUGUGAUAUAGCCCAGGGAUAGAUAAAUAGGCUAGUGGGCUAGAAUAAAGUCCUCAAAAAUAGACCCAUGCAUGUAUGGAAACUUCAUAUGUAUCAGAGGUGGUGUUUCAAGUUGCUGGAGAAAGGGUGGACUUUUUUUAUAAAUGUUCUUUUAUGGAAGGAUGGGAUGUCCAUGUUGAGAAAAAGUGAGGUGGAAUCCCUUCCUCACACCAUGCAUAAAAUAAAAUCAAUUCCAGGUGAAUUAAAGGCUUAAAUGCAGGAGAAACUUUUAAUAGGGAAAGGUUUCUUAAGACCCUCAAAGCACAAACCAUGAAGAAAAAGAUUGAUAGAUUUCAUUAAAGGGCCUAAUUCCUGUUUAUCAAAAGAAGACAUUUGGAAAAAUGUGAUAUCCAAAAUGUACAAAUCAAUUUUCAAAAAAAACCAAGAGAAAACCGGACGAAAGAUAUGAACGGCAAUUCGAAGAAGGGAAAAAGUAAACAUCCAAUAAACAUAUCAAAAGAUA